UUCCCACGAGCCACGAAGGCUUCUGACCUCUAUCCACCACCACCACCUCCUCCACCCAAUGCGCAUCUAAGGAUGAAAGGAAGAAAAAUCCUCUCCGCCAGCUCUCUCCCCGAUUCCUCUCUCUCCGCCACCACUGAUUCCAGAAACCCUAGUCACCAUGGGUCGCCGGCGUAGCUUUGGCGCCUCCAGUUUGUCGGCCCACCACCCCGCGUCUCUGCACGAACGGCUAUCAAUCGGGCUCGACGGUCUGCGCUGCCUCGGUUACCUCGACUCCAACGCCGACGGUUCACAAUCUCGACAAUGAUCUAUGCUACCUUGAUCACUCGCCUGGCCUAUUGCAUCCAUGCCGCUCCAUGUUCUGAGUUCUCCACUGCAAUUGUGUGCGCACUGAAAUACCAGGAUGUAAGUACUUCUUAUGCAUCCUAAUGUAUUCUGUAACUUCUGUUUUUUGCUAAUUUAUGACGGCUUUUUGCUAAUAACAGCUUGAUGACAUGGCACACACGUUCUGAUAUAUUCUGUAACUUCUGUAUUUUUUCUGAGAUUGUAUUCUGUAACUUCUUCACUAUGCUUGGUACAUAAAUUUUUAUCUUUUAUAUUUACGCCACAAAACUCUUCAGCUCUAAGUAAUACUAAUAGUGCCUUAGAAUUUUGAUAGCUUUUAUUUGGGACAGAUUGCCAGUAUACAAUUUUUUUUGCUUCUUUGCACCGUUAUCUUAUUUGAGUUUCCUAACAUACAGGAAAACCCCGAUUUGUUAUCUUCAGUUUGUAGUUGAGACUUCAUUUAUGCUGAGUACGCUGUAGCAGCUGGACAUCGUCAUCGCUCAAAUGUGUGGCAGGUGCCUUUGUUUACAUACUUUACUUCCUUAUAGUAGCACUUGCUUACACAAACUGGGCAUGCUAAAUUUAAGUUGAAAGUUUUCAACCUUUGGGAUAAAUACAUGUUUAACGUUCCAUAUGUGUGGUUUGUUAUUAACUGCAUUGUUAUUAGCUGGUUGGUCUUAGUUCUGAAAGGCAUCCUCCUUCCAGAGCCAAAUUUCUUUUAUUUUAGAAGAAAAAAAGAUUUAGUCAAUAUGCAUGUAAAUCUUGAUCCCGACAUCUUCAUUUCACCUUAAUAUUGUGCUUUCACAGUUACAUAUGCAAGCUGGUUUUUUUUUAUCUGUUCAAUUGCAAAGGAGAACUCACA